GACGAACGCUGGCGGCGUGCUUAACACAUGCAAGUCGAACGAUGACGACCGAGCUUGCUCGGUCUGAUUAGUGGCGAACGGGUGAGUAACACGUGAGCAACCUGCCCUUCACUCUGGGAUAACCUCGGGAAAUCGGGGCUAAUACCGGAUAUGAGCUCCUGUCGCAUGGCGGGUGUUGGAAAGUUUUUCGGUGAAGGAUGGGCUCGCGGCCUAUCAGUUUGUUGGUGAGGUAGUGGCUCACCAAGGCGAUGACGGGUAGCCGGCCUGAGAGGGCGACCGGCCACACUGGGACUGAGACACGGCCCAGACUCCAACGGGAGGCAGCAGUGGGGAAUAUUGCACAAUGGGCGAAAGCCUGAUGCGGCGACGCCGCGUGAGGGAUGACGGCCUUCGGGUUGUAAACCUCUUUCAGCUGGGAAGAAGCGAAAGUGACGGUACCUGCAGAAGAAGCGCCGGCUAACUACGUG
rnacentral:rRNA from 1 species